CAAUAGCGUAUAUUAAAGUUGUUGCAGUUAAAAAGCUCGUAGUUGGAUUUCGGGACGGGCCAGUUGGUCCGCCGCAAGGUGUGUUACUGACUGGUCUGUUCUUCUUCGCACAGACUGCGUGUGCUCUUCGUUGAGUGUGCGUAGGAUUUACGACGUUUACUUUGAAAAAAUUAGAGUGUUCAAAGCAGGCUAUCGCUUGAAUACAUGAGCAUGGAAUAAUGGAAUAGGACUUUGGUCCUAUUUUGUUGGUUUCUAGGACCGAAGUAAUGAUUAAGAGGGACAAUUGGGGGCAUCCGUAUUUCGUUGUCAGAGGUGAAAUUCUUGGAUUUACGAAAGACGAACAACUGCGAAAGCACUUGCCAAGAGUGUUUUCAUUAA
rnacentral:rRNA from 1 species